rnacentral:misc_RNA from 1 species
CAGAGAAGAGGGAUUCGUCCCUCGGAGCCUCGGCUCUUUCUCUUUACCCAAUGUUUAUGAAUCUUUGUUGCUUUGGCGGACCAUGGAGUCUUCUCCAUGCCGAUGUUUGUCGGCAAGUGUCCGCCAAAGGCCUUCUAUAAAAUCUUUAAAAUUUGUCUGAUCAAAACAUUUAAAUUAUUUA